UAGCCUUGCGGCCGUACUUCCCAGGCGGGGUACUUAAUGCGUUAGCUCCGGCACUGAGGGUAAACCCCCAACACCUAGUACCCAUCGUUUACGGCGUGGACUACCAGGGUAUCUAAUCCUGUUUGCUCCCCACGCUUUCGCUUCUCAGCGUCAGUAUUGGUCCAGAGAGCCGCCUUCGCCACUGGUGUUCCUCCCGAUAUCUACGAAUUUCACCUCUACACCGGGAAUUCCGCUCUCCUCUCCCAUACUCAAGCCUGCCAGUAUCCAAUGCACUUCCUCGGUUGAGCCGAGGGCUUUCACAUCAGACUUAACAAGCCGCCUACAAGCUCUUUACGCCCAGUAAUUCCGAACAACGCUUGCACCCUCCGUAUUACCGCGGCUGCUGGCACGGAGUUAGCCGGUGCUUCCUUUGGCGGUACCGUCAAAGCCAACGGACUAUUCAUCCGUGGCCAUUCGUCCCACCUGACAAGGCUUUACGACCCGAAGGCCUUCAUCACCCACGCGGCGUUGCUGCGUCAGGGUUUCCCCCAUUGCGCAAUAUUCCCCA
rnacentral:rRNA from 1 species